rnacentral:misc_RNA from 1 species
GAAAUGCGAUAAGUAAUGUGAAUUGCAGAAUUCAGUGAAUCAUCGAAUCUUUGAACGCACCUUGCGCUCCCUGGUAUUCCUAGGAGCAUGCCUGUUUGAGUGUCAUUAAAUUCUCAACCUCACCAGUUUUCUGAACUGUUCUUCGAGGCUUGGAUGUGGGGGUCUGUGCAGGCUGCCUUUCAUAGUGCGGUCUGCUCCCCUGAAAUGCAUUAGCGAGUUUCAUACUGAACUCCGUCUAUUGGUGUGAUAAUUAUCUACGCCGUGGACGAGGUUCAGACUCGCUUCUAACCGUCCGUAAGGACAAUACCUUGACAAUUUGACCUCAAAUCAGGUAGGACUACCCGCUGAACUUAA